GAAUAUUGGGCAAUGGGCGCAAGCCUGACCCAGCAACGCCGCGUGAGGGAAGAAGGCUUUCGGGUUGUAAACCUCUGUCCUUAGGGACGAAAAAAAUGACGGUACCUAAGGAGGAAGCUCCGGCUAACUACGUGCCAGCAGCCGCGGUAAUACGUAGGGAGCAAGCGUUGUCCGGAAUUACUGGGCGUAAAGGGUGCGUAGGUGGCCAUGCAAGUCAGAUGUGAAAUCCCCGGGCUUAACUCGGGUGCUGCAUUUGAAACUGCGUGGCUUGAGUGCAGGAGAGGAAAGCGGAAUUCCUAGUGUAGCGGUGAAAUGCGUAGAUAUUAGGAGGAACACCAGUGGCGAAGGCGGCUUUCUGGACUGUAACUGACACUGAGGCACGAAAGCGUGGGGAGCGAACA
rnacentral:rRNA from 1 species